rnacentral:rRNA from 1 species
GUAGUCUCGCACAGAUGCAUAUCAAUAAGCGGAGGAAAAGGAACUAACAAGGAUUCCCUUAGUAACGGCGAGUGAAGCGGGAAGAGCUCAAGUUUGAAAUCUUCAAGGUUUUACCUUGACGAAUUGUAGUUUAAAGAAGUGUUUUCUGUUGAAGUUUUGGUAAAAGUUCUUUGGAAUAGGACAUCAUAGAGGGUGAGAAUCCCGUAUUUGACCAUUAUUUUCAGCUGUGUGAUACACUUUCAAAGAGUCGGAUUGUUUGGGAAUGCAGUCCAAAAUGGGUGGUAAAUUUCAUCUAAAGCUAAAUAUUGGCGAGAGACCGAUAGCGAACAAGUACCGUGAGGGAAAGAUGAAAAGAACUUUGAAAAGAGAGUUAAACAGUACGUGAAAUUGUCAAAAGGGAAGCGUUUGACACCAGUGUUGUUUUUCUGAAAAUCAAUUAAAGAACUGUUUAUGCUAAGUUGUUUAGACUUUAUCAGCUAACUGUUUAGUAUUGAGCUUUUCUUUAAUGCACUUUUCAGUUAACAAGUCAACAUCAAUUUCUUUUGCUGUAAAAAAGCUUGAGGAAGGUGGCUUGAGAUUCGUCUUAAGUGUUUAUAGCCUCUUGCCUAUGCAGUCGGAGAGAUUGAGGUCUGCAGCGUAGAUCCUUCGGGGCUAAAUGCAUUUGUGCUAAGUUAUAGCAUUUUAUAGACAACUUGUUGACUAUGAUUUGUCUUGUAGCUUACUCGCUUAUGUUAUUUUACCUACGCUUAGGAUGUUGAUGUGAUACUGCGAGC